AGUGAACGCUGGCGGUAGGCCUAACACAUGCAAGUCGAACGGCAGCACAGUAAGAGCUUGCUCUUACGGGUGGCGAGUGGCGGACGGGUGAGGAGUACAUCGGAAUCUACUUUUUCGUGGGGGAUAACGUAGGGAAACUUACGCUAAUACCGCAUACGACCUACGGGUGAAAGCAGGGGAUCUUCGGACCUUGCGCGAUUGAAUGAGCCGAUGUCGGAUUAGCUAGUUGGCGGGGUAAAGGCCCAGCAAGGCGACGAUCCGUAGCUGGUCUGAGAGGAUGAUCAGCCACACUGGAACUGAGACACGGUCCAGACUCCUACGGGAGGCAGCAGUGGGGAAUAUUGGACAAUGGGCGCAAGCCUGAUCCAGCCAUACCGCGUGGGCGAAGAAGGCCUUCGGGUUGUAAAGCCCUUUUGUUGGGAAAGAAAAGCAGCAGGUUAAUACCCCGCUGUUCUGACGGUACCCAAAGAAUAAGCACCGGCUAACUUCGUG
rnacentral:rRNA from 1 species